AUUGAACGCUGGCGGCGUGCUUUACACAUGCAAGUCGGACGGCAGCAUUACCUUCGGGUAGAUGGCGAGUGGCGAACGGGUGAGUAAAACAUCGGAACAUACCAUGAAGUUGGGGAUAACUCAUCGAAAGAUGAGCUAAUACCGGAUAAUCUCUGAGGAGGAAAGCUGGGGACUAGAAAUGGCCUGGCGCUUUUUGAGUGGCCGAUGGUCGAUUAGCUAGUUGGUGGGGUAAAGGCUUACCAAGGCGAUGAUCGAUAGCUGUUCUGAGAG
rnacentral:rRNA from 1 species